GACGAAGGAUGCAAGCGUUAUCCGGAUUCAUUGGGUUUAAAGGGCGCGUAGGUGGUCUGCUAAGUCAGUGGUGAAAUCUCUCGGCUCAACCGAGAAAUUGCCAUUGAAACUGGCGGACUUGAGUACAGUUGCCGUUGGCGGAAUAUGACAUGUAGUGGUGAAAUACAUAGAGAUGUCAUAGAACACCGAUUGCGAAGGCAGCUAACGAAGCUGUUACUGACACUGAGGCUCGAAAGUGCGGGGAUCAAACAGG
rnacentral:rRNA from 1 species